rnacentral:lncRNA from 1 species
UAGCUAGAGUUGGGCAUCGACCGUGACUGGCACAGCCCACCAAGCACUAUAGGAGGCUGUGCCAUGGCAUGGCCCAAUUCUAGGGGCCGGGCUGGGCUAGAAAUUUGGUGGCCCACGGUCUAGACCCGACACGGCCUGUCAAGGCCUGGGCUGGCAUGGCCUGAUGGGCCAGACACGGUAUCAUACGGCCUGCAUGCUAACCCCUAUGUAUCCAUUUGACACGACAUGUUUUUAAAGUUUUUAUUUUAAAAAAUAUUUUUUAUAAAAUAAAAUAGAUUAGGAAAUAAAUUAAAAAAA